rnacentral:rRNA from 1 species
AACGAACGCUGGCGGCAUGCCUAACACAUGCAAGUCGAACGAGAUCUUCGGGUCUAGUGGCGCACGGGUGCGUAACGCGUGGGAAUCUGCCCUUUGGUUCGGAGUAACAGUUGGAAACGACUGCUAAUACCGGAUGAUGACGAAAGUCCAAAGAUUUAUCGCCAGAGGAUGAGCCCGCGUAGGAUUAGCUAGUUGGUGUGGUAAAGGCGCACCAAGGCGACGAUCCUUAGCUGGUCUGGGAGGAUGAUCAGCCACACUGGGACUGAGACACGGCCCAGACUCCUACGGGAGGCAGCAGUGGGGAAUAUUGGACAAUGGGCGAAAGCCUGAUCCAGCAAUGCCGCGUAAGUGAUGAAGGCCUUAGGGUUGUAAAGCUCUUUUACCCGGGAUGAUAAUGACAGUACCGGGAGAAUAAGCUCCGGCUAACUCCGUGCCAGCCGCCGCAGUAA